rnacentral:rRNA from 1 species
AUUGAACGCUGGCGGCAGGCCUAACACAUGCAAGUCGAACGAGUGGAGGACGGGUUAGUAAUGUUUGGGCAACUGCCCGCUGGAGGGGGAAAACUGCUGAAUACGGUAGCUAAUACCGCAUACUAUCGGAUCUGCCCCGGUGGGAUUAGCUAGUAGGUGGGGUAACGGCUCACCUAGGCGACGAUCCCUCGCUGGUCUGAGAGGAUGACCAGCCACACUGGAACUGAGACACGGUCCAGACUCCUACGGGAGGCAGCAGUGGGGAAUAUUGCACAAUGGGCGCAAGCCUGAUGCAGCCAUGCCGCGUGUAUGAAGAAGGCCUUCGGGUUGUAAAGUACUUUCAGCGAGGAGGCGUUACUCGCAGAAGAAGCAUCGGCUAACUCCGUGCCAGCAGCCGCGGUAAUUC